rnacentral:lncRNA from 1 species
CUUUAAUAUUUUGUAUGUAAACAUAUACAAAUACAUAAUGGUAACAUUUAAUUUCAACAUGAAGUCAACACUUUGAAAAAUAUUAAUGUGAUUCUUACAUACUUUUUAUACUAAGCCCUUAAAAUUUGAAUCUGAUGUUUGUUUUCUGCUUAUAGCACGUCUCCUUCUGGACAAGCUUUAUCUCAAGAGCUCAAAGUCUCCUGUGACUGGAGCCCAUCAUACCAGACGGGUGAUGUCCACAGGAAGUCCAUCCUCUCACAGAUGGCAUGGCAGGUGCCAAAGAAAAAGAAGUAAAGGGAAAAUAAAAUCUACAAAUCGGUUGGACUGUGAAGGAUGCACUGCAAGAAGAGUUGAGGCUGGCGCCCCUCACCUUCCACAGGUAAGAGGUUGAUGAUAAGAAGCCAAAUCCUAAAGCUAUUAGUAGCAGCAGCAGCAGCAGCAGCAGCAACUGACAGUCAGGGACAGGCCCUCUGUCUUUAGCAAACUUUAUCACUAUUUCCCAUGUGUUCUGCUUCCUCCAGAACUCAGCAGAUAUCUCUAAAUCACUGUAUCAAUCUGUAGCAAGAUAAGCACACUUUUGAGACCACCAGAACUGCUGCAUCAUACUUCUAGGAAAAUGACAAGCAUGGUUUUAUGUAUUAUAUACCAGUGGUGGUAAACCUAUAGCAUGGGGCCACAGCGGGCUGUGUGUUAUCACUGAAAGCUCUGAAAGUUUCACCAUCACUGUUACAUAGCAUGUUAUGCUGUGUUCUCAGCAUCGCUGUUAGUUAUGUAAGCCUUCUUCCCUUUCACAAAUAAGAACAAGGCACAGGCCACUCAGCAGGCCUGCCCAAGGUCACGUAACUAACUCGUGAAGAUUCUGGGGGCUUCUUACAUAGAAUGUACUGGGGGCUUUUUAUAGAUCAGGCACCAUGCCAAGAGCUGUACUCAAAUUUCCUUCAUGUGAUAGGUUCUAUCUUUACCUCUGUUUUACAGAGUAGGAAAACAAUGGCUCAGAGAGGUUAAAUAAUCUACCUAAGGACUUACCCUAUCAAGUAACACAGCCAGGACUGCAUCUGCAACUGCCUCCAAAGUCAGUUCUUAGAUAGCUAAACAGACAUUUUCAGAUAAGAUUCACUUUGACUACAUCUGAUCAUGCCUAAUUAAUCCUGCUAAAUGAAAAGGACAGAACAGGUAGCCCUGCAGUACUUUUUUUUUUUUACUUAAAAAGGUUUAUUACAGUAAAAGACCCAUUGCAUGAAUCCCCUUCAA